rnacentral:rRNA from 1 species
GAUGAACGCUGGCGGUAUGCCUAACACAUGCAAGUCGUACGAGAGUUUUUAACUCUAGUGGCGGACGGGUGAGUAACACGUGAGAACUUGCCUUUAGGAGGGGGAUAACAAUUGGAAACGAAUGCUAAUACCCCAUAUGCUUUUGAGUGAAAUGGAUUUUAUCCGCCUAGAGAGAAGCUCGCGGCUGAUUAGCUUGUUGGUAAGGUAAGAGCUUACCAAGGCGACGAUCAGUAUCUGGUUUGAGAGGACGAUCAGACACACUGGAACUGAGACACGGUCCAGACUCCUACGGGAGGCAGCAGUGGGGAAUAUUGCACAAUGGGGGAAACCCUGAUGCAGCCAUGCCGCGUGUGUGAAGAAGGCCUCGGUUGUAAGCACUUCAGCGAGGAGGAAAGGGUUAGGUAGG